UACGUAGGUGGCAAGCGUUGUUCGGAAUUAUUGGGCGUAAAGGGUGCGUAGGCGGCGCGGUAAGUCGGGUGUGAAAUCUCGGAGCUUAACUCCGAAACUGCAUUCGAUACUGCCGUGCUUGAGGACUGGAGAGGAGACUGGAAUUUACGGUGUAGCGGUGAAAUGCGUAGAUAUCGUAAGGAAGACCAGUGGCGAAGGCGGGUCUCUGGACAGUUCCUGACGCUGAGGCACGAAGGUCAGGGGAGCAAACGGG
rnacentral:rRNA from 1 species